GAUGAACGCUGGCGGCGUGCCUAAUACAUGCAAGUCGAGCGAACAGACGAGGAGCUUGCUCCUCUGACGUUAGCGGCGGACGGGUGAGUAACACGUGGAUAACCUACCUAUAAGACUGGGAUAACUUCGUGAAACCGGAGCUAAUACCGGAUAAUAUAUUUAACCGCAUGGUUCAAUAGUGAAAGACGGUUUUGCUGUCACUUAUAGAUGGAUCCGCGCCGCAUUAGCUAGUUGGUAAGGUAACGGCUUACCAAGGCUACGAUGCGUAGCCGACCUGAGAGGGUGAUCGGUCACACUGGCGCUGAGACAAGGUCCAGACUCCUACGGGAGGCAGAAGUAGGGACUCUUCCGCAAUGGGCGAAAGCCUGACGGAGCAAAGCAGCGUGAGUGAUGAAGGUCUUCGGAUCGUAAAACUCUGUUAUUAGGGAAGAACAAAUGUGUAAGUAACUAUGCACGUCUUGACGGUACCUAAUCAGAAAGCCACGGCUAACUACGUG
rnacentral:rRNA from 1 species